AUUGAACGCUGGCGGCAGGCCUAACACAUGCAAGUCGAGCGGAUGAAGGGAGCUUGCUCCUGGAUUCAGCGGCGGACGGGUGAGUAAUGCCUAGGAAUCUGCCUGGUAGUGGGGGAUAACGUCCGGAAACGGGCGCUAAUACCACAUACGUCCUGAGGGAGAAAGUGGGGGAUCUUCGGACCUCACGCUAUCAGAUGAGCCUAGGUCGGAUUAGCUAGUUGGUGGGGUAAAGGCCUACCAAGGCGACGAUCCGUAACUGGUCUGAGAGGAUGAUCAGUCACACUGGAACUGAGACACGGUCCAGAAUCCUACGGGAGGCAGCAGUGGGGAAUAUUGGACAAUGGGCGAAAGCCUGAUCCAGCCAUGCCGCGUGUGUGAAGAAGGUCUUCGGAUUGUAAAGCACUUUAAGUUGGGAGGAAGGGCAGUAAGUUAAUACCUUGCUGUUUUGACGUUACCAACAGAAUAAGCACCGGCUAACUUCGUG
rnacentral:rRNA from 1 species